AACAACACUGUCUUUUGCCAUUCUUCCACUCUAUUUCAAUUGGUAUUCAUUUUAGUCAGUGUAGCCUAAGAAAACAAAUCAAUACUUUGCAUUUAUUUGAAUAUGUAUGCCUCUGUUCUCCACCUCUAUUUUAUCAGACAGGCGGCUUGUUACACUAUCAGUAUGCUGAAGUCAUGAUUUGAUUCUUAUUUUUAUGAAUAUUUAAAAAACAUAACACCAACAAACAAAUUUUUUACCUAUAAAAAGAAAAGUUUACAUAUGAAUUGGUGGCUCUAUUAAUUUUGGGUUGUAGCAACACUGUCUUGCUUGUUUCCUGUUCUGAAUUUCUUUGUUUUACUGACAACCUUUUAAAUCACCAUAGCUAUCACUAUCCCCAUGUUUUCCCUGAAACAUUGUCUCCCAUACCCCUAAAAAUCCAUCUCAUAACAAAUGAGUUUAAUGAAGAAAACUUGGCCAGCUCUGAAAAUAGAUAUUUUAUUCUAUACUUCUAGUGCAGUGAAAUGUAAAAUAUUUGAGCAUGUACUCCUGAUGGGAUUUGUAUAUUAGUAUAAUGAUUGUGUACAUUUAAAAAUGGAAAUAAAGAGAAUUAUGUAGAAAUUAAGAAAAUGAGAUGAUUAAAAAAUAGAUUAUAUUGACAUAGGUAGUGGUAAAUUUAUUGAAUAGGGAAUGUACUUAAGGAAAUUCACUGGCAGCUAUGUGGGAAAUAUAUUAGAAUGGGAAAAAGUAGGAGACUUGAAUAGUCCAGAUGAGAAGUUAUGAGCUAAACUGGAGUGGUGGCCAUGUGAGUGGGGAGUGGCAGAUGUGACAUGUCACCUGGCUGGUGUGAAUGUGAAGGGAAAGUAUGAGGUCAAAGAUGACAGGUUAUGAGAACCUGAGUGCUGGAUGGUGGUGAUUUCAGCAGCAAUGGAGAGAUUUGGAAGACAGGAAGAAUUGGUGACUGGUGGGCAAAGGAAUAAUGUAAUGUUGUUUGUGAUCCAAUUCACAAUCCGUAAUGGACAAUCAUCUUUUAUGAGUCACUUUACCAUGAAAAUAAAAAGAGUACAGGUCUCUUAUUAAUAUCUGUCUUGUCUGCAAAAGCAGAACACCUCCCAACAAGGUGUCUGAUGGAGCCAGGAGGUGAUCUAUGGUGGUGUGAUUAGUUAGACUAUAACCACCCUGCAGGAUCUGACACCCAUCUAGGAUAAGCAACGUUGGUAAUUUGCACAGCAGAGAAAAAGAACAGGGUAGGGGAAUGGUGUGAGACAAGAUCAGUGUGACUGCUAAAAGACAAAAGCCACAAUUGUUGGAAAGGUGGUGAUGGUAUCUUUUCUGAAAAUCUAAUUGAUCACACCUCUUGGGAUUGGGGAGGGGGGCCCUAGCUUUGGAUAGCAUUGUUUUAGUUCAUCACUUCUCUGCCAAGAAGUGGUAAGCAUACUUCAUUAGUGCUCUGAAGUUACAACUGAUAAUUUUACUAAGCAGAAUCCUUGACUUUUAAAGUUGUUUUCCUCAAUUCUGAUGAACAUGACUUUCUAGCAAUGAGAUGAUUGAUGCCAGUUCCGAUGAUCUUGCAAUGAAGAGAGCCAUCUAUACCCAAAAAAGGAAAGGUAGAAAGUGAAUGUGGAUCACAACAUAACUUUUUGUUAUUCGCUUGCAUUUUGUUUUCUUACCCAUUUACUUUCUUUUUUUGAUCUGAUUUCUCUUGUGUAGCAAGAGAAUUGUAUAAAUGUUUAUACAUAUUGGAUUUAACAUUUUAAUAUGUUUAUAUUGACUUGCUUGCCAUCUAGGGAAGGGGGUGGGGAGAGGGAGGAGAAAAUCUGAAACAAGGCUAUGCAAGGGUCAGUGUUGUCAAUAUGUUUUGAAAAUAAAAAGCUUUAUUAUAAAAAAAGAGAGAAAGGUGAAUGUUGAAAACUAUCCUUGUAUGUAUUGGAAAAAUAAAAUACUAUUUAAAAAAUAAUAAAAAA